GAGAAUUGGCAACAAUGGCGGUUAGAAGCAAGAGAUUAGAGAAGGAUCACUGAUGACGCACAUUUUAUUCAUCUUGUGUACUGGUCUGGAAUAUGGACGAGAAACUAGACCACGUGGUCUGUGAUGGCGAUCAUAAGAUAAGAUUGUCACGUUGGCUAUGACGCCCGGCACACUUUGUCUGAGAUGCACAGGAUGUCACAGAGGCAAUACUGAGUUUAAACCAUGGAAAAUGAAAACAUUACCUUUGCAUUGUAAGAUUGCAGAGUUAAUGUCACCAGCUCCCAGGACAUCAGUGAUUUUCAUGGUAAAACUAUCAGAGAUAAAUAAAACUGAAAUGUCAUGUAAAUUUUUAAA